UACGUAGGGUGCAAGCGUUGUCCGGAAUUACUGGGCGUAAAGAGCUCGUAGGUGGUUUGUCACGUCGUCUGUGAAAUUCCACAGCUUAACUGUGGGCGUGCAGGCGAUACGGGCUGACUUGAGUACUGUAGGGGUAACUGGAAUUCCUGGUGUAGCGGUGAAAUGCGCAGAUAUCAGGAGGAACACCGAUGGCGAAGGCAGGUUACUGGGCAGUCACUG
rnacentral:rRNA from 1 species